AAGUAGACUGUCUUGGUGGGGAAAAUACCUCUAGCCAGUAAGAAUUCCAUAUUGUAUGGGGAGGCAUUCCGCAGAAGACAGGUGUGAAACAUAUCCGCAUGGGUCAGAGCACCUGGACAAGGUUGUGCCAAGCCAUGUCAUAAAAUCAUGGACUGUCAGACUGAAUCAAAAGAAGAACAUCAUCUAAAGUAUACACAACUAUAAAUAACCCCUUCCUGGGUCCCCUGCCUGAUGCGACUUGGAGGUGGCUACCCAUAAAGCCGGCAGAAUGGGGUUUCAAUUGGGAGCAAUGACAGCUUAAUGGAGUCGGGAAACUUAGUACUUAACCCAUGGCUAGCUUUCAAAAUGUCCUUUUGCCUGAGCUGACCUGAAGUGGAUUGUCUCCUCCAUCCCUGCCCACCAUCUGCAGCCCCACCCAUCUCAGAGGGGGGCCCAGGAGGCCGAGUCUGGGUUGCAUCACUACUGGAAGGAACCAGCCCUGAAGGUGAUUCUGCUGCCCGGUACAGAUGGUGAGCCCCUACAUGCUCCGGAGACCAGCCACUCCAGACAGGAGGUCUGUUUCAUCUAAUCCCUGGAAAUGAGAUUCUUCCCCUUCAACAGUACAAUGACG